rnacentral:hammerhead_ribozyme from 1 species
AACUUGCUGAAGAGUGCCAAGUAGGACGAAACUCGUGUCCAGGGU